GGUCGGCCCAGAAAGUUUAGAAAGCUCUUUGUUUAAAUGAAGUCACAAAAGUUUUUAUAAAUUCAUCUCUUUAUUCUAAUCCUCUGAACUGCAUGUUUUUCAGAACCUCCUGUAGAACCUGAGUACUCUCAUGUUACAAAGGCCAACCCAGUGUAUGAGGAGAUCAGAGAGGACAGACAGAGCACAUCUCCUCCUGUAGAAGUGUCCACAGUUUACACUUACGCCAAAUACACCAAACCAGAUGGAGUAGAGACCACCGAGGACUACAGCUUAGUCACUGCACCCACUUCUCAGAUGAAAACUGAAGACGAGCUCACCUACUCUGAGCUGGAUGUCCCCAGCGGUCCAGCUGCU